CACAUGGACACUACACUAAAUACCACAACACCAAGACACAAAGUGAUAAAAACGCAAAGCAAGGCGAUAAACAAAUGAUUGGGAGAAUAUGGCCUAUACGACUCCUGGAGAACAUUUCACCCAAAUGAGAACUCAUUCUUUUUCUACUCAGCAGUGCACAAAUCAUAUUCAAGGAUUGAUUUCUUUCUCAUAGCGGGCCCAUUAC